AUGCACUCUUUAAGGCAAAUUCAGUCUCGGGGCCCUCAGGCCAGAGUGGGGCAGCAAAGCACCUAUGGAGCUGACUACAAGCCCCCCAGUGAUCGGCACCUCAGGCUGUUCAGGCUGCAUGCAGAGCCGUCUUGCACCACACACCAGAAGUUGGCGGAUAUGUGGGCUCAGUACUACAGACAGUGUUUCCAGACCAUUACCAACGGCCCACAGAACCCCGCCUUUGCCUUCCCUCAGAAGGGGAGACCAGUGAGGGCAGCUACGUUGGACAGUGAGAGUUUCAGUAAGAUCCAAGUGGAAAGGACAGCUCCUCCAGAGAAGGGGCAGAGCCAGAUACCACCACAGCGUUCGAGCUCCGACUCUGGGGAACGAAGGUCGGUCUCUCCCUCUCUCUCCUUAACCUCAGUCCAUAACUCCCUCCCAUCCCGCCCUGCAAGGAAAGAGGCAUGGACACAUGCAACAGGGGACCCGGCACUGGGGGUCACAACGACACCCAAGGACAUGGUGGAGCUGCCUCACAUCGGCAGUGGAGAAGGAAGUGAUGGGGAGCUCCCGCUGCAGGUGGAGCGGUUAAGGGCGGAGCAGUUCCGUCGGGACAUGACCCACUCAUCUAGGCUGGAAGGCCAGAUCAACCAGCGCAUAGCCACCCAGUCUAACCUCAUGCACCUAGGGCUGCCAUUCAACGGUGUGACCACCUACAGCCAGAGUUACACACACUGGGACAACUCCUCCACACUGAGAGGCCCGCAGUGCAUCCUUCCUGAAGCCACACUCAACUGGAGGGCCUGGGUGUCAGAGUACCAGGACCGGUACCAGGGCCCGGAUCGCUACGUCCCUGGGCAGAGGAAGCCCCCUAGCGGCCUGAAGGAGCCCUGCACCGCCGAGUACCAGCCUGGUGCCCACACCGCAGACCAGACCCGAGGACACAUCUGCUCAGAGUAUCAGAGGCACUUCACUAAGAAGGUAAUAUCCCAAACGGAACCAUAUUCUCUUCGUGGUGCACUACUUUUGACCAGGGCCUUAUGGUGCACUUAG
rnacentral:lncRNA from 1 species